AUAAGUGCCCCGCCUGGGGAGUACGGCCGCAAGGCUAAAACUCAAAGGAAUUGACGGGGGCCCGCACAAGCGGCGGAGCAUGCGGAUUAAUUCGAUGCAACGCGAAGAACCUUACCAAGGCUUGACAUAUACCGGAUCGUUCCAGAGAUGGUUCUUCCCCUUUGGGGUCGGUAUACAGGUGGUGCAUGGUUGUCGUCAGCUCGUGUCGUGAGAUGUUGGGUUAAGUCCCGCAACGAGCGCAACCCUCGUUCCAUGUUGCCAGCACGUGAUGGUGGGGACUCAUGGGAGACUGCCGGGGUCAACUCGGAGGAAGGUGGGGAUGACGUCAAAUCAUCAUGCCCCUUAUGUCUUGGGCUUCACGCAUGCUACAAUGGCCGGUACAAAGGGUUGCGAUACUGUGAGGUGGAGCUAAUCCCAAAAAGCCGGUCUCAGUUCGGAUUGAGGUCUGCAACUCGACCUCAUGAAGUCGGAGUCGCUAGUAAUCGCAGAUCAGCAACGCUGCGGUGAAUACGUUCCCGGGCCUUGUACACACCGCCCGUCAAGUCACGAAAGUCGGUAACACCCGAAGCCGGUGGCCCAACCCUUGUGGAGGGAGCCGUCGAAGGUGGGACUGGCGAUUGGGACUAAGUC
rnacentral:rRNA from 1 species